rnacentral:lncRNA from 1 species
UGUGUGUGUAGCGAGAUUUGAGAGAGAGAGAGAGAAAGAAAGAGGGAACUCCCUCUAGAGUUUAAUUCACAACUUUAGCAAGACUGGGGAAAUAUUGGUAUCUAAUUUCAGACAUGAACUCAAAUUCUUAGCCAUCUAGACUUACUAAUCACAAGGAGUGAAAGAAGAAGGAUCAAGCAACAUAAGGCAACAAAGAACCCAUGAUCGAGGUAAAUCAUCCACCUAAGAUCAACCCAAGGUUAUGGGUGAACACACACGAGCCAUCUUUUGAUGUAUAGUUUUCAAACGGGUCAACUUUUGUAGCUUUUGAAUAAGUUUGGUUGUAAACAUUUAGAUUGCACUU